UAGCCUUGUGGUUAAGGCUAUGGAUCCUCAAUCCGGAGACGGCGGGUUCGAUUCCCGU
rnacentral:tRNA from 1 species